GUACACGCUGUGACUAGCAUAUCAAUAAGCGGAGGAAAAGAAACUAACAAGGAUUCCCUUAGUAACGGCGAGUGAAGCGGGAAGAGCUCAAAUUUGAAAUCUUGAAAGGUCACCUUUCACGAAUUGUAGUUUAAAGAAGUGUUUUCUGUUACGAUCGUAAUAUAAGUUCUUUGGAAUAGGACAUCACAGAGGGUGAGAAUCCCGUCUAUGAUUAGCGAUUUGUAGCUUUGUGAUACACUUUCAAAGAGUCGGGUUGUUUGGGAAUGCAGUCCCAAAACGGGAGGUAAAUUUCAUUCUAAGGCUAAAUAUUGGCGAGAGACCGAUAGCGAACAAGUACCGUGAGGGAAAGAUGAAAAGAACUUUGAAAAGAGAGUUAAAUAGUACGUGAAAUUGUCAAAAGGGAAGCGUUUAACACCAGUGUUGUUUUCUGAAAAUCAACCUCUGUUAGCUUUAUGCAUGUUUGUUUAGACCUAAUCAGCUAUCCUUCAUGUUCUAUUGUUUGCAGUGGUGCACUUUUCAGUUUACAGGUCAACAUCAGUUUUUUUUACCGUAAAAAAGUUAAAGAAAGGUAGCUCAUGGCUCCGGUCGUGAGUGUUAUAGUCUUUUUCCUAUGCGGUAGGAGAGACUGAGGUCUGCAGUGUAGGCUAUUUGGCUAGAUACUCAGGUGCUAUGUGAUACCAUUUCAUAAACAACUUGUUGAUUAUGUUUUGUCUAUUGCAUACUCGCUUGUACUAUCAUACCUACGCUUAGGAUGUUGAGUAGCGACAUACGCAC
rnacentral:rRNA from 1 species